CAAUCAAGAUUCUCCGUCUGCGUAUUUCAUCAAAGCGAGAAACGCAGCUGGCUACGAGCCUAACAGUGAUAUUUGCAGAACUCAAAGUCAAGUCCGAGCCUGCAGCGGAGUAGGAUGGACGUCAAUCGGUAUCUUUCAAAAUCAUACUAUCCAGGCGAGUACAACACAUUUUGAUAUACGUUAAAACAUAUACGUUAAAACGGAAACGUCAUAAACGACUGGGUCUAAAUGCCACUUUAACGCCUUCUUUUUUCGGUGUGAGUGCAUGUUAUGACGAUGUACGUCAAUAUGUUCCUUGCGAUAUUCUGAUAGCGAGGCAAGUGCAACACAUUUUGCUAUACUUGCGUUAAAACGGCAACUAUACCUUCAAGGCACUCUAUUUACUCUGUCUUUUCGGUGUCAACCGUGCUAUGUGUGUUGACAAUUUUUCAGAGCAGUGGCAGAAAUUUACUUUGUAGUGGUGGGACUGAAUUUUAGCAAAUCGUUCUGAAUUCCCCCAGGCAAGUGAUUUUGUCAUAAAGGCUUUGAUAAUUAUACCAAUACCAUGACAUUUGUAUUAUACAUACAUACAUACAUAGUACAUAAUUAUUAUUCAGCUCACUCCCAAUUAGGGCUUUUCAGUGACAGAUUACAUGAAGUAUUUCGCUCAUGUUACGUACUUAGCCCAGGCCCGUGCCAACCGGUUUCUGGUUGGGAGGGGGUGUAUUCCAAAAUUUGGGCCCCCUUCCAUUUCAGGCCCCCCCCCCAAAAAUUUUCCGGAAAGCAAAAAUUUUUCCAGAGAAUGUUGGCGACGGAGGGGGGGGGGGGGGGNNNNNNNNNNNNNNNNNNNNGGGGGGGGGGGGGGAGGUCGGCGUUAUGUUUUCGAAAACAAAAGUUCAAAUCUUUCGCAAACAACCUUCCCACAAAUUUUAAAAGUCGUUCGCAAACAACAUUUCCCACAAAUUUCCAUAAUUCAGCGAACAAAUCCUUCAUUUUUUAAAAAUUUUGCGAUCCCAGCAUGCCAGGGCCCCCUCCCCGCACGUUGGGCCCCACUUUUUUAUCUUUUUUGGGGAGUGUUACACCUCCCACACUCCCCCCAGGUGGCACGACGCUAACUUAGUCUAGACUAUUUAUCUUUACAACAAUUGAGAUAUUUCUGCUCAUAACUCAGAAAAACUAUUUUGGCUUCAUCAAAUCAUAGGCCUUCAUCAUAGCAGUUAGCCUUCCAGUUUAUUUAUAGUUCAAUGGAGAUAACCCACUGACUUUUUUCACAUGAGUCCGUAGCGAGAAACGAGCCCACUAUCUCAGAGGUGAAAGGCGUUUGCUCUGACGACUGCGCCACAGAAGUCUCAUUAUUGAACUUACUUGAGGAGAUACAAUACUAAAAGAUGGAGAAUGCCAUCUUUUCUGUAAUGUAUCUGCACCCAUCGAAAUUUCAUCCAGGCCCAGCCAAACAGAAAAUCCUUUUACAUCCUUGAGAUAACCAGCGAGGGCAAAACAAACAGAGAUUUAGAGAAAGCAUAGAUUUCCCGAAAUAAUAGGGGCUGAAGCUCUGCCUUCAAAUGACAAUGACCAUGCAUAAUUUUGCAAUCUGAAGGAAUUUCAAACAAUUAAAUAAAGCUUGACUAUAGUGACGACAGUUCGACUGCUUGCUGUACAAUUAUAGUGGAAAGUGAACGCCUCAGUAGACACUUUAUCACAAAUAUUGUACGUAUUUAUGCCGGUUUUAUCUAUUAUCUGCUAGUUUUCCUGCGCGCCGGAAGAACUUUUCCGUACUGAGUUGAUUAUUAAAAUGUGUAAUAAAACAUUUAAAAUUAUUUUAAGGAUAAUUGGAGUUAUGAAAGCGAAAUUUGGACUGCAAAAGGAAUCGAUCAGGUUUUCUUGAAUUCGCAAUUUUGGAGUGCUAAUGUCACUGAAAUUUGUCUAUCGUCAUCGGUAUUUGAUGUCCAAAUUCCCGUGACAGCUCCCUCAUUACGUAGCUUGUUUUUCGAAAAGAGAAUUCUGAACAUGACUCCACAGCAAUGGACUAUUCGGUUCGCAAUGCCAAUUUUCACACCAGGAUGUUUUGAAAUUGGUUUCAACGUGGGAAAUGAAACUGGAGCUCCACCUCGUGCUCGUUUAGGAAUUGUUUCCACACAUGGCGCAGGU
rnacentral:lncRNA from 1 species